rnacentral:rRNA from 1 species
UCAGUAGGUGAACCUGCGGAGGGAUCAUUUUUGAUUGUAGCUCUGCUGUAACAGGUAGCUGCUGCUAUGCCACGGUUAGCGAUGUGUGAGAGUGCUUGUCGUACGCGGCGGGUGCUUGAACACUACGCUUCGACUGCUUGCAGUCGUAAGAAAUCUAACACGAGUUUAGGCUCACCUUUUUUGUUUGCUAUAACUUGACUGAUGUUCAGAAAAGAUAAUACUAAAGUGAAUACUCUUAACGGUGGAUCACUCGGGUCAUGUAUCGAUGAAGAACGCAGCGAAAUGCGAUAGCUGGCGUGAAAUGCAGAAAUCUGUGAACGUUGAAUUUUCGAACCUAAAUGGGUCAGGCAGUUUAUUCUGUCUGAACGUUCGUUUGAAUGCUGGAUAGUUACUAAAACCAAACUGGUUUUCCAGUAGGUUGUGCAAUGGCUACUCCGCUGGCGAUUGAGUCGGUGGAUAGCUGAAUACCACGUUACUUCGGUAACAACCGGUAUACGGCUGGUUCGCAUUUGCGGCUAGUGUCUCUGGUGCUUUCUGGGGCUCUACUGUGUUUGUGACUAGACGUUUUACUUAACCUAUCAGCUUCAAAUCGAGCGAGGCUACCCGCUGAAUUUAAGCAUAUCAAUA